GAUGAACGCUAGCGGGAGGCCUAACACAUGCAAGCCGAGCGGUAGAGUCUCUUCGGAGACUUGAGAGCGGCGCACGGGUGCGGAACACGUGUGCAACCUGUCUUUAUCUGGGGGAUAGCCUUUCGAAGGGAAGAUUAAUACCCCAUAAUAUACUGGAUGGCAUCAUCUGGUAUUGAAAACUCCGGUGGAUAGAGAUGGGCACGCGCAAGAUUAGAUAGUUGGUGAGGUAACGGCUCACCAAGUCAGCGAUCUUUAGGGGGCCUGAGAGGGUGAUCCCCCACACUGGUACUGAGACACGGACCAGACUCCUACGGGAGGCAGCAGUGAGGAAUAUUGGACAAUGGGUGAGAGCCUGAUCCAGCCAUCCCGCGUGAAGGACGACGGCCCUAUGGGUUGUAAACUUCUUUUGUAUAGGGAUAAACCUAGAUACGUGUAUCUAGCUGAAGGUACUAUACGAAUAAGCACCGGCUAACUCCGUG
rnacentral:rRNA from 1 species